UAGCCCCUGACAUUGACCAGGUCGGGAGGAAGGUUGUUGGCCAGCGGGAACCAACGCUCAGUCAUCUCCUCGUACCUGAGCAUGGACGGGGGCUCCCCCUGGUAGGGGUGAGGGGCCAGGGGUCCCCCCAGGAAGUCCCCGAGGGCCACGAGGACAGGAGUCCCAGUCAUCCGGGCCUCCCUCAGCCUCUGCUUCAGGCUGACAUCCCCUGGAGCUUGGGGAGGAGACCCCAGGAGGUGGAACUGGGGCUUGCACAGCACCUCGUGGAAGUGGACGACCAUGAAGCGCAGGCAGGCCUCCUGCAGGUCGGGCAGCCCGUACACCUGCGCCAGGCGGUACAUCUCCAGGCAGUUAUUGAGCCGCACCUGGGACAGCAGCAGCUGCAGCAGGGACGUGACCUGCAGGAAGGAGGCCGCCUCCACCAGCUCGGACAGCAGGCUCACCUCAUCCAUCUCCUCGUCCUCGUCCACCCCGCCGCCCUUUUCCCCGCGCGGGCCCAGGAGCCAGCCUUCGCGGGCCCCGCCGGCGUUGAUGAAGUCCAGCACCAGCCGCAGGCCCGGCGCGCUGAGGCCCGGGAAGCUGCGGGCCCGGGCGCCUCGGCUGCGGACGCGCAGCUGCGGGAGGCGGAGGGCGCGCGUCCCCGCAGCCUCUCCGCCCGCCCGGGGCGCGCCGGCUCCGC
ensembl:lncRNA novel transcript